UACAGAGGCCCCAAGCGUUAGGCGGAAUCACUGGGCUUAAAGGGUGCGUAGGCGGUCUAUUAAGUCAGCGGUGAAAUACUCCAGCUUAACUGGAGGGGUGCCAUUGAUACUGAUGGACUUGAGUCAAGUCGAGGUAGGCGGAAUUGACGGUGUAGCGGUGAAAUGCUUAGAUAUCGUCAAGAACACCAAUAGUGAAGACAGCUUACUGGGCUUAAACUGACGCUGAGGCACGAAAGUGUGGGGAUCAAACAGG
rnacentral:rRNA from 1 species